rnacentral:misc_RNA from 1 species
GAUAGUGUUAAAUGUCUAGGAGGUAUCACCAUUCAUAUAUCAUUCUUUCCUGAAAUUCCAAAAAUUACAAAGCCAAAAAAAGGGGGAAAAAAUUACCCAAAAAAAGGGGGCCUUUUAUAUUUCCACUCGGCUAUGGAACAAGUACUUUAACAGAAAAAACUAAUACAUAUAAUGAUUUUUCAGUAAAAUAAGACAUUUUACAAUGAGAAUGGCACAGAAACAAUUAAUUCACAGAA